AGAGUUUGAUCCUGGCUCAGAACGAACGCUGGCGGCGUGGCUAAGGCAUGCAAGUCGAACGAACGUAUGGAAUGGGAAACUUGAACAUACGUUAGUGGCGAACGGGUGAGGAAUACAUGGAUGACGUACCCCGGACUCGGGGAUAGCGGCGGGACGCAAGUCCCUUUAGCGAAAGUGCCGGUAAUACCCGAUGAUCUCGGAGGAUCGCAUGGUCCUUCGGGCAAAGCUCCGACGGUCUGGGAGCGGUUCAUGGCUUAUCAGCUAGUUGGUGAGGUAACGGCCCACCAAGGCAAUGACGGGUAUCGGGUGUGAGAGCAUGACCCGACACAUCGGGACUGAGACACGGCCCGGACACCUACGGGUGGCUGCAGCAACGAAUAUUCCGCAAUGGACGAAAGUCUGACGGAGCGACGCCGCGUGCAGGAAGAAGUCCUUCGGGAUGUAAACUGCUGUCAGGGGUUAGGAACACUGACCGGCCCCAGAGGAAGCACUGGCUAACUCCGUGCCAGCAGCCGCGGUAACACGGAGAGUGCGAGCGUUGUUCGGAAUCACUGGGCUUAAAGGGCGUGCAGGCGGAGUGUUAGGUGUCGGGUGAAAUCCCCGGGCUCAACCCGGGAACUGCUCGGCAAACCGGCAUUCUUGAGGCAGGCAGAGGUGACUGGAACGACCGGUGGAGCGGUGAAAUGCGUAGAUAUCAGUUGGAACGCCGGAGGCGAAAGCGGGUCGCUGGGCCUGCCCUGACGCUGAGACGCGAAAGCGUGGGGAGCGAAGAGGAUUAGAUACCCUCGUAGUCCACGCCG
rnacentral:rRNA from 1 species